AGCGAACGCUGGCGGCAGGCUUAACACAUGCAAGUCAAACGCCCCGCAAGGGGAUUGGCAGACGGGUGAGUAACACGUGGGAACGUACCCUUUGGUUCGGAAUAACUUGGGGAAACUCAAGCUAAUACCGGAUAAGCCCUUAUGGGGAAAGGUUUACUGCCGAAGGAUCGGCCCGCGUCUGAUUAGCUAGUUGGUGAGGUAAUGGCUCACCAAGGCGACGAUCAGUAGCUGGUCUGAGAGGAUGAUCAGCCACACUGGGACUGAGACACGGCCCAGACUCCUACGGGAGGCAGCAGUGGGGAAUAUUGGACAAUGGGGGCAACCCUGAUCCAGCCAUGCCGCGUGAGUGAUGAAGGCCUUAGGGUUGUAAAGCUCUUUUACCCGGGACGAUAAUGACUGUACCGGGAGAAUAAGCCCCGGCUAACUUCGUGCCAGCAGCCGCGGUAA
rnacentral:rRNA from 1 species